rnacentral:lncRNA from 1 species
GGGCCAUGAAGAAUCAGGAGGAAGAAGGGGGCCAAGGAAACAUCCAUCAUUAUUAAUAGACGUGACUUGAGAAGGAGCUCAUGUCUGACCAAUGAACUAAAGAGCGUGGGGUUCGGUGUAAGGGUCAAAGAAAAAGUCAAAAGGAAGAAAAGUGAGAAAUCUGAAGAAAAUCGAGAAAUCUGAAGAAAAUCAAGAAGGACCAGGAGAACCUAGACCAUGCCCCUAGGUCAUUCCGGCAGGUCCCGUCGCCAUAGUCGUCUCAAUAACGCACAUCAGCCCACUGUGUUCGGUGGCUGGGGUGCCCCUCCAGGCAGAGACUGGAGCCAUAGGGCUCUCUGUGGUUGCCCUUACCACUGUGAGCCACCAGAAGAGCGACCGAGCUCUCGACCAGUCCACGGCAUCAUCAGCAGACAGCCAUCCCGAGAGUCAUCAGGAUUAGGCUGCCGGCUCCCGUGCAGGGGUUGGACUCCGGAGCUUCAGCCUUCAUUACCACCCCGUCACCAUUUUCAUUUUCCCAGUCCAACUGGACGUACUCAUGGACCUCACAGAGCAGAGUUAAGGAAACAGAAGUGGCAGAAGUUAAGUGAUUCGCCAAGAGUUACUAGAAGUCGUGGAAUGUACAGAAUGCCGAGCACAGGGCCUGAGUGCCCCCCAAUCCCUUCCCGAUUUGGAACAUGUCCUCAGUCUCCUUGUCAGGCUCCACAUGUGGAUGGUGGCCUGUACUCAUCGCUUUAUCAGCCACCUACGUCUUCUCGUCUCUUCCGCCUUCCUCCUCGCUAUACCCAUUACCGGGUACCUCAGAACUAUCCAGAGCAUCAAUACUUUUAUCCAUCUUCAUCUGAACUUUUGCCUUUUCCUCUCCAAUCUCCCAUUCCUCGCCGGAAUGGGCUGGACCCUUAGUGAGGUCAACUCCAGGGGGACAAAGGAAAAAUAAAUGACAGUGACUGCGUAUUCCA